rnacentral:tRNA from 1 species
AGCCUUAUAUUCAAAUAUGAUUUAAAAUUGCAAAUUUUAAGGUGUAAUAAUUACUAAGGCUU